AAGAUGCAUUGCUUUGGAGAAGUGGUUUUGCUUUUAUUUCCACAGGAAACAAGAGGCUGUGGAUUUAUUUCAGGUUAAGAUGGGACCAGUGUAGGGAGAGAUCUCUAGGUGCCUGUGCCCUUACUCUUGCUUUGAUGACUUGUGAGACAAGAACAAUUGUUCUCUUCAUGACAAAGCCUUCCCAUGUUCAGGCUCAAAACCCAAUGGCACUGAAUCCCAGGUCCCCUGGGUUUCUCCAGAAACCAACACUAUGAUAAUGCUUCUGUUCCCUUCUGGAAUUUUUAGAAUGGUUUUUGUCCUCCAUUCCCUAAGAUGUCAUGGUCAUAUGCCUUGGUACAUAUAGGUCUUUCCAUUGGUCACAUGGCAGGUCCUGUACUCUAAGAUCUGGACUUCAUUGUGAAAGACCCCUGCCCCUUAGCCCUUUCUUUCUCAAGUUUGUCUCCUCUUCCUCCUGUCGGCGGCUUCCCCGAUCCCCACCCCCGGCGGCCUUCCCCCGCCACCCGCCGCACGCCCGGCCCGAGAACGAGCACCAGGUGGGCCGGCCCGAGAACGAGCACCAGGUGGGCCGGCACGAGAACGAACACCAAGUGAGCCGGCCUGGAGCCCUGCCCCUGAGCCCCCGCCCGAUGAGAAACACUCCGUCCCAAGGUCUCCGCCCCCAAGGUCAGCCAUCUGGACGCGGAGGGGGGGGGGAAUUGAGUCUGUUGUACCAGACACCAGACCUUGAGAAUAUGCUGAUCUGGAAUGGCUCUGUGUCUCAUUUGAACCAUCCAAUAGAAAUGAUUCUGUAUUUCGCCUCAUUUGAAAGACUCUGUGUUUCACCUCAUUUGAAUAACUCUGUAUAGCGCCUCAUUUACAUUGACCAAUGGGAAUAGAUCUGUACAAUGCCUCAUUAGAAUUAUCCAAUAGAAUCCCUGCUUCUAGCUUACGCCUUUUUCCCUAUAUAAGGACCCCUUUCCCUUGGCUCGGCGCGCUUGGCCUCACAGAAGCUAAGUCGCCCGGGUACCCGUAUCUCCAAUAAAGCCUCUUGCGGUUUUGCAUCCAAGUUCGUGGUCUCGCUGAUUCCUGGGUGCGGGUCUCCCUCUAUGAAAGUACCUCUUCGGGGGUCUUUCAAUUGUACCGCCACACCUGCCUGUCACUAACCUUGGAAUUUGUACUGUCUGGAUUGUGCUUUUGUAUGGUACUGACGAUCAAACCCAUGGCCUUGGGCUUGCUAAGCAAGUGCUCAACCAUGGACCCAUCCCUUCCGCCCUUGGGGUUAUAUUGUAAGAAUAGGACUCACCAUAUAGCCCAGGCUAUCCCAGAACUCCCAGUCCUCUUGUCACAAUUUCCAAGGUGUUAGAAUAACAGUCAGCCACCCUCUCAGCUAUCUCUGCAGUUAUUUCUUACUUGUUCUACAGUAGCUGCUAUCCAUUUCUUUUCAUUGGAAAACAAUCUCAAAUACAGAAACAUUGCAAAAAACAAAACAAAGACCAUCUUCCUCUCUAGAGUUCUUUGUGAGCACACUGCUAACAUGGUGCCCUCCCUAUCACUGUAAAAAAUUUUAACAUCCAUUUUCUACAAGCAAAGGUGCUUUUUUAAACAUCAGAACAUUAGCAUUUAUAUUUUACUAUUAUGUCAUCCCUGGAUCCAGUUCAAGCUUGGUCAUUUGACCUGUCCAUGCCUUUUAUAUCAAAAGCACUUAGGGGAAUGUCCUGCUACUUAGCUGUCACAUCGCCUUAGUUUUUAGAUGUCUGAAACAGGUUCUCCAAACUUUGCCUUUUCAGGUGAAAUUGUGGUGCUCCUGCCAAACAUAUAGGACCUGAGUUUAACUGUGAAGAACCCCAAAUGGGAGAUAACCUAUGUUUCUAGCCUGCUAUCUUCAGAAGGUCUUUAUUUUGCUCACUUGGUUAAGGUGAAGUCUGUGUAAUCCUAACUGUGCAUUUUCCCUUCUUUGGAUUUGUUGUUUAUUUGUUGGUUGUAUGAGACAGAGUCUCAUUAUGUAGCUCAGAUUGGCCUGGAACUUGCUGUGAUCCUCCUGGCUCUGCCUUCCAAAUGCUGGGAUGAAAGCUGCAAGCCACCAUGUCCUGCUCCCUUUGUAAUUUGUACAUAUUUUAUGGUGAUUCAAGACUGUGUCAUCCUAUCCACCCGUUUAUUUGUUUGUCUCUCUCAGUAUGAAUCCAUAGGAGCCCGUUUUGUUUUAUUUAGUCCAUAAUUAUUUACACCUUUAUUACUUUGGUUUUGGAACAAACCAGAUUUGCUAGUAGGUGUCUGUUUAAACCGGUUUCUAAAUUCUUCUAACCUGUUCCUGCUAUUGGAGAGUGCUUCCAUAUUUUCUGGAAGAAGAUGCUCUAGGCUCAUCUGCUGUUUUUCCUGCCUCCGCUCUGGAUUCAGCCAUUUCUCUGAAGAGCACUGGUUCCUUUAACAGAGGGACACGUGAAUGUGCGCACCAGGCAAUCUCACUGUCAUCAGAUAAUCCUACAAUUUUUCAGUAACAAGCUUGGGGAUCUGCGGGUUGGGGUACACACCCACUCGUUAGCAUCUGUAUGUAUUUAUCUUUCUAUCGAAUGACAUCUACUGACAUUGUUACUAUGGUGAUAUAGACCAGUGCUGGGGGUUAGACCCAGGUAGAUGUGAUCUGUCAAACAAGCAAUAGUCAAUACCAGUAUCUCCAGUUCCAAACCAACAUAGGUCUUUUAUCACAUAUAUUCUUUAUAAGUAUUUUCCUACAACUCCUAUUUUUCUCCAUGUCUUUGCUCAUUUUAUAAAUUUCCUUCUAUGUGUCUGUUAGGCUCAUGCUUGCUUAACUUAAUUAAGACCCCUUAUUCUGGCUUAAAUAUUUAUUUUCAAGGUAACUACUAUCGUAUGGCUCUAAUUUACUUUAUUUUUAAUUACGUGUAUAGGUGUAUGUCUGUGUGUCCCGCAUCCAUGGAGGACAGAAGAGUGUGUUAGAUACCCUUGAGCUGGAGUUAUAAGGGUUGUGAGCAGCCCAUUCAGGAUGCCAGGAAAAAAGCUUGGGUCUCCUGGAAUGGAGCUACACGCUCUUUAUCCACAAAGCAAUCCCUGUAGCUCCAUUCACUGGCUUACAUUUUAACUACAUUUUAUGUAUUAACUUUGUGUGUGCGUGGGUGUGUGCGUGUGUGUGUGUGUGUGUGUGUGUGUGUGUGUGUGUGUGUGUGUGUGUUUGCAGAUCACAGGGCACAUGAGGAGGUCAGAGGACAACGUCUGGGGCUUUGACCUCUCCUUCUCCUUACUUCUGGGAAUCAAACUCGGGUUGUUAGACUUCAAGCGGUAAACACGUUCGUCCACUGAUCCAUAUCGCUAGCCCCUCUUUCUUUUAAAGAAAUACACAAUUAUGAACCACACCCGUAAAACCCAAGUUUGACAGGUUUAGACAUGCGUACACACCUGUGAAGCCACCACAGUCACAAGAAAGAAUGUGUCUCCCCGCCCUGCACAGUCUCCUUACGGCCUUCCUAGUCCCGCUCCUGGGGGCUGCUGGCCUGCUGUCACUCUAAUUUAUGCUGCAGAUUUAUAGCUGCCUCGGAGGGCAGCGCUUGGGAGGGGGCAGUGUCAAAGCAGGUCGGAGAGCACAGCGCUGGCUGCACAGGCAGGCGGCAACUGAAAAACUCGGCCAACCUGGGAGCCUGUUCACUUUCUUCUUAGCAUGUGGGAGCCUGUUCAUUUUCUUCUUAGCAUGUGUAGAUCUGUGACAUUUUCAUGCACGUGCUUAAGCCAUCACUCUUUCCACAUUCAUGCACAUAUGUGGAGGAGGCGUUUUGAGACUAUUUCAGGGAGAGUUAUAGGGAGACAUCGGGGGUCCCAUAUUUCCCAUAAUACACAUUAUAUACGUGUAUAUAUUUUCAAAUCUAAAGAAGUGGUUUUUUGAAAGAAGAAAAACUAUUAUCUCUUCAGUUUAAGGAAGCAAACAAAACCCAAGAGAAAAGCAGCCGCCAGUGGUUCCAUGAUAGAUGAAGCAGCCUUUGCCAGCUCCUGCAUGAGGACAUGGGAGGAGGAGAUGGGGGGAGGAGGGAGGUGUGUG
rnacentral:lncRNA from 1 species